UGGGGAAUAUUGGACAAUGGGCGCAAGCCUGAUCCAGCCAUGCCGCGUGAGUGAUGAAGGCCUUAGGGUUGUAAAGCUCUUUUGUCCGGGAGGAUAAUGACCGUACCGGAAGAAUAAGCUCCGGCUAACUUCGUGCCAGCAGCCGCGGUAAUACGAAGGGAGCUAGCGUUGUUCGGAAUUACUGGGCGUAAAGCGCAUGCAGGCGGAUCGUUAAGUCGGGGGUGAAAUCCCAGGGCUCAACCCUGGAACUGCCUUCGAUACUGGCGAUCUUGAGUCCGGGAGAGGUGAGUGGAACUCCGAGUGUAGAGGUGAAAUUCGUAGAUAUUCGGAAGAACACCAGUGGCGAAGGCGGCUCACUGGCCCUGUACUGACGCUGAGAUGCGAAAGCGUGGGGAGCAAACA
rnacentral:rRNA from 1 species